CCCAAACUUAUUACAGAACAUAAGUUCGAAAAUAAGUUUGGAGGGAUGAUGAUAUGUGUGUCACUACUCACAGAAAAACAUGUUCCAUGGUGGUGGUAUGAACAAAGCGCGAGUUCCCUCAUCUUCCAAGCUCAACACUGCACUAAAACCUCAAACAAAACAACAAAACAAAAAGAAACAAAACGAAACUAAAAGAAAGAAAAACAAAACAAAAACGGUUGGGUUACCUCCCAACAAGUGCUUAAUUUAACGUCUAGAGCUCGACGAUACCUCAAAAACUCAUGGAGGUCGGAAACAGCACUCUAACCAUUGGAAAGCUUUUCUACUCUUGGGUGCCCUCUCCACAAAAACACUUCUCUUGGCUCGAACAUCCUCCACA
rnacentral:lncRNA from 1 species